rnacentral:rRNA from 1 species
AUUGAACGCUGGCGGCAUGCCUUACACAUGCAAGUCGAACGGUAACGGGCCUUCGGGUGCCGACGAGUGGCGAACGGGGGAGGAAUACAUCGGAACGUGCCCGAUCGUGGGGGAUAACGAGGCGAAAGCUUUGCUAAUACCGCAUACGAUCUACGGAUGAAAGCAGGGGACCGCAAGGCCUUGCGCGGACGGAGCGGCCGAUGGCAGAUUAGGUAGUUGGUGGGAUAAAAGCUUACCAAGCCGACGAUCUGUAGCUGGUCUGAGAGGAUGAUCAGCCACACUGGGCCUGAGACACGGCCCAGCCUCCUACGGGCGGCAGCAGUGGGGAAUUUUGGACAAUGGGCGCAAGCCUGAUCCAGCCAUGCCGCGUGCAGGAUGAAGGCCUUCGGGUUGUAAACUGCUUUUGUACGGAACGAAAAGCCUUCUUUUAAUACAGGAGGGUCAUGACGGUACCGUAAGAAUAAGCACCGGCUAACUACGUG